GGUGGCCCUCGAAAUCCUGUGGCGGGAUCAUUCAGUCGGAGCGCUCUCGUCGCUCGCCUGGAAUACGCAGAACGGAAGGUUCCCGUGACCGGGGCCGUUCCGGCGCGGCGUUUCGUGGCGACCCGACGCAUUUGUUUCCCGCCCGAAGGACGCCGCAACCGGUUGGGUUAGAGACGGCCUUAAGGACGAGUACCGGCAGGUGGCCGGCGGCGCCGCCCCCGUGGCGCGCGUCUGCCGGUUGUUAGCCUUCUCCGUCACACGGCCCGUCCCCCGACCGUGGCAACAGAGAGGCCCCGAUUGGGCUUCGACGUCUCCUCCCCAUUUAGAGGGCUAGCGGGUGUAGAAGCGCGGCAGGAGCUCAAACGCGGCGCGGGCGCACGGACCGACUCCGUGGCCCUUGCGCCGCAUUGUCUUCGCUGGCUGCGCAUGACCCGCGGGAGUGCAUGACGGUUCGCGGCGAGUAGAUCGGUCACCCACCCGGCCCGUCUUGAAACACGGACCAAGGAGUGUAACAUGUGCGCGAGUCAAUGGGUCUCGAAUAAGCCCAGAGGCGCAAUGAAAGCGAAGGCCGGAGGACUCCGGCCGCGUCGGGAUCCCCGCCGCCUCGGCGCGCGGGGCGCACCGACGGCCCGCCCCGUUCCACUCGUGGAUGUGGCGGAGUCCGAGCGCACACGUUGCGACCCGAAAGAUGGUGAACUAUGCCCGGGCAGAACGAAGCCAGAGGAAACUCUGGUGGAGGUUCGUCGCGAUUCUGACGUGCAAAUCGAUCGUCAGAUCCAGGUCUAGGGGCGAAAGACUAAUCGAACCAUCU
rnacentral:rRNA from 1 species